CCUACGGGAGGCAGCAGUGGGGGAUAUUGCACAAUGGGGGGGACCCUGAUGCAGCGACGCCGCGUGGGUGAAGGAGCGUUUCGGCGCGUAAAGCUCUAUCGGCAGGGAAGAAGGAGGACGGUACCUGACUAAGAAGCCCCGGCUAACUAAGUGACAGCAGCCGCGGUAAUACGGAGGGGGCAAGCGUUAUCCGGUUUUACUGGGUGUAAAGGGGGCGCAGACGGCGGCGCAAGCCAGGAGUGAACGGCCGGGGCCCAACCCCGGGACUGCUCUUGAAAACGCGUGGCUGGAGUGCAGGAGGGGCGGGCAGAAUUCCUAGUGUAGCGGUGAAAUGCGUAGAUAUCAGGAGGAACACCGGUGGCGAAGGCGGCCUGCUGGACUGCAACUGACGUUGAGGCCCGAAAGCGUGGGGAGCAAACAGGAUUAGAUACCCUAGUAGUC
rnacentral:rRNA from 1 species